UACGAAGGGGCUAGCGUUGCUCGGAAUCACUGGGCGUAAAGGGUGCGUAGGCGGGUCUUUAAGUCAGGGGUGAAAUCCUGGAGCUCAACUCCAGAACUGCCUUUGAUACUGAGGAUCUUGAGUUCGGGAGAGGUGAGUGGAACUGCGAGUGUAGAGGUGAAAUUCGUAGAUAUUCGCAAGAACACCAGUGGCGAAGGCGGCUCACUGGCCCGAUACUGACGCUGAGGCACGAAAGCGUGGGGAGCCAAACAGGGAUUAAGAA
rnacentral:rRNA from 1 species